GCCGCGUGAGUGAAGAAGGCCUACGGGUUGUAAACUCCUUUUACUGGGGAACAAAUUUUGAGUGUACCCUUUGAAUAAGCACCUGCUAACUACGUGCCAGAAGCAUCGGUAAUACGUAGGGUGCAAGCGUUAUCCGGAUUUACUGGGCGUAAAGAGAUGCGUAGGCGAUUUGGUAAGUUUGAUGUCAAAUCUUGAGGCUUAACCUCAAAAUUGCAUUAAAUACUAUCAGAAUUGAGAUAGGUAGAGGAGAGGGGAAUUCCUGGUGGAGCGGUUAAAUGCGUAGAUAUCAGGAGGAACACCGUUGGCGAAGGCGCCUCUCUGGACCUUUUCUGACGCUGAGGCUCGAAAGCGUGGGUAGCGAAACGGAUUAGAUACCCGUGUAGUCCACGCCGUAAACGAUCCCUGCUAGAUGUUCGAUUUGUAGAAGUUUUUCCGACUUUGUCGGAAAGGUUUUACGGAUUGGGUGUCACAGUUAACGCAUUAAGCAGGGCGCCUGUGGAGUACGGCCGCAAGGCUAAAACACAACGGAAUUGACGGGGACCCGCACAAGCAGUGGAGCGCCUGGUUUAAUUCGAUGAUCAGCGAAGAACCUCACCUGGGCUUGAACUAUAGCUGCAUGGCCUGAGAAAUCAGGCAGGCCUUCGAGGGUGCUAUAGAGGUGUUGCAUGGCUGUCGUCAGCUCGUGUCGUGAGAUGUAGGGUUAAGUCCCACAACGAGCGCAACCCCUAUCCGAUGUUACAAUUACUUCGGAAACUGCCCUGUCCAAACGGGGAGGAAGGAGGGGACGACGUCCAGUCAUCAUGUCCCUUAUGUCCAGGGCUACACAGACGCUACAAUGGCCGAUACAAUAGGUAGCCAAACCGCGAGGUGGAGUCAAUCCUAUCAAAGUCGGUCUCAGUUCGGAUUGGAGACUGCAACUCGACUCCAUGAAG
rnacentral:rRNA from 1 species